CAGAUCUCCUCACUCCAGAAAAAAAAACUUUCUUAUCAAAGAUAUGCACACAGUUAAGUCACUGUUAGUACUGAAUGACCUGAACAAGAAAACAACCUGUGAGACAUGUAGUAAGGGUAUCACUACCUGUUUGUAGUUUCUCUGAUUGUGAGCAGCCAGGUUGUGGAUUAAAAGGGACCUGUCAUGCACCAAACUACCUAUCUAUCUAUACAUUGUGCCAGCCAGGCCUGGACUAGUCUUCGGGCAAACCUGGCAAAUGCCUGGUUUGCCGCAAUGGCCAUUGCUCGAGGAUUGCAGUGGAGCUCAGAGGAUCUCCCGUGACGGCCC